rnacentral:rRNA from 1 species
GACGAACGCUGGCGGCGUGCCUAAUACAUGCAAGUCGAACGAGUGGCGGACGGGUGAGUAACAAGUGGGAACCUACCCAUCAGAGGGGGAUAACACUUGGAAACAGGUGCUAAUACCGCAUAUUGAUGGAUGGACCCGCGGUGCAUUAGCUAGUGGGUGAGGUACCGGCUCACCUAGGCGACGAUCUCUAGCUGGUCUGCAAGGAUGAUCAGCCAAACUGGGACUGAGAAACGGCCCAGACUCCUACGUGAGGCAGCAGUGGGGAAUAUUGCACAAUGGGCGCAAGCCUGAUGCAGCCAUGCCGCGUGUAUGAAGAAGGCCUUAGGGUUGUAAAGUACUUUCAGCGGGGAGGCGUUACCCGCAGAAGAAGCACCGGCUAACUCCGUGCCAGCAGCCGCGGUAAUAC